UGGAACUCACAGAGAUGCCUCUGCCUC
rnacentral:piRNA from 1 species